AAAUAUUUGGGGGAAAAAAAUAACGGAAAAUAACUUGGUUUUACAGCACACAAGGAGUGGCACAUUUCCUCGUUACACCAAAAUGGAAGUUCUUAAACAUCAUAGAGGAUGGCCAAAAAUACAGACAGAGGAGAGGAUUAGAGAGAGGACGCACAUUUGUCAGCUUCCCACCUGGAAUCGAUUUUACUGGUUCCGAGUUCUGCUGCUUUCUGCAUUCCUAAUAGGGAAAAAGUAUGGAUGGGCCAUUGCCUCUUUAGCAGUUAGCCUUUCUUGAUGAUCAUAGCGCAACAAUUUGUCAACGAAGUCAACAGCCUCAGG
rnacentral:misc_RNA from 1 species